UUUGGUCUGUCAGACUCUCCAUUGAUGCGUCACCCUGCUUAUUACCUUUACUACAACAUUGGGUCAACUGAUUACUGAUACUGAGCCAACUAAGUCUUUUCCUGUUAGUCUUGUCCAUUAGAGUAAAUGAUUUUGUAAAAACGUGGGGUAGACUAUAAUUUUGUCCGGGUGUGGAAGUAUGUCGGCUGACACCAGUUUACUCGGACGUUGCGAGCAUCCGCCGGAGUAGCUGACCUGAAUCGGUUUUGAGAUUAAAG